rnacentral:ncRNA from 1 species
GCACAUGCUGUGAACGAGAGGAAAUCGGAAUUUCGGAGCCUCAGAGAGCCGGUGGAUGGUGAAAACCGGUGCGACGUAUCCGUGAUCUAUCACUCGUGAGCUUCCCAGCCGAAGGUAGUAGGCUUGGACGGAUGUCCCCGUUACGGAAUAGCCAUUAAAGUAUAAUGCAGGGUGGUACCGCGAUCUCGCCCCUGUCCCAGAGUGGACAGGGGCUUUUUAAUUUCCGGUACGCCCCUUGGCAGAGUAUAAAUGCAAGGUGGUACCACGCAAAAGCGUCCUUGCC